CCACUUCGUAGCCUGGAGGGAUGUGCUCUGACGCCUGCACACAAGAUGAGGACACGACUGAUCAGUUGCAAGAGGCGAGCUGGGCCAAGGCUUUGUCACCAGAUCCCACAGACAGGAACUGGGGCUGACAGAUCGGUUUCAUCAGCAGCCAUCGCUGCCACCACCACUUCCCUCCCCUCCCAGCACCACCACCACUGCUUCCAGGUAUGUACCCAGGUGAAAGGCCUGCAGGCCUGGCUGUAACCAAGGCGUGAGGAGGAGAAGGAUGGUGAUGGUG